rfam:Myotis lucifugus cont2.22143, whole genome shotgun sequence.
GGCCUCCCUCUUUGGGGCGAUCCAUCAUGGAGUCCCCUCAUCGAUUGCCCCACAGAGGGUGGCC